rnacentral:rRNA from 1 species
UACGAAGGGGGCUAGCGUUGCUCGGAAUCACUGGGCGUAAAGCGCACGUAGGCGGCUUGUUAAGUCAGGGGUGAAAUCCUGGAGCUCAACUCCAGAACUGCCUUUGAUACUGGCGAGCUUGAGUUCGGGAGAGGUGAGUGGAACUGCGAGUGUAGAGGUGAAAUUCGUGGAUAUUCGCAAGAACACCAGUGGCGAAGGCGGCUCUCUGGGCCUUACCUGACGCUGAGGUAGCGAAAGCGUGGGUAGCGGAACAAGG